CAGAAGCAGCCAUCCAUUCAAAGAGUGCGUAAUAGCUCACUGGUCGAGAGGUCCUGCGCCGAAAAUGUCCGGGGCUGAAACGCGCCACCGAAACUAAGGAACCGAAAGGUUGGUAGAGGAGCAUUGCAUGCGGAACGAAGCAGUACCGUAAGGAGCUGUGGACUGCAUGGAAGAGAGAAUGCCGGAAUGAGUAGCGAGAUAGAGGUGGGAAUCCUCUAGGCCGAAUAUCCAAGGUUUCCAGAGUAAAGCUGAUCUGCUCUGGGUAAGUCGGGGCCUAAGGCGAGGACGAGAGUCGUAGCCGAUGGACAACAGGUGGAGAUUCCUGUACUGCGGUAUGACAGAACUGUGGGGACACGUAAGGAAAGCGGAAGCCGGGAAUGGAAAGCCCGGUGCAAGCGGGGUACCAGUCACUUUGGCAAAUCCGGGUGGCAAUGGGAAGCCGUGAUGCGGAGCGAAAUAAAGUAGCGAAGUCCGUGAGCCAUGCGUCAAGAAAAGCCGCUAUUGUUUAUACCGUACCCGUACCGUAAACCGACACAGGUGGAUGAGGAGAGAAUCCUAAGGCCGGCGGAAGAAGCAUUGUCAAGGAACUCGGCAAAAUGACCCCGUAACUUCGGGAGAAGGGGUGCCUGCGAGAGCAGGCCGCAGAGAAUAGGCUCAAGCAACUGUUUAGCAAAAACACAGGUCUAUGCGAAACCGAAAGGUGAGGUAUAUGGGCUGACGCCUGCCCGGUGCUGGAAGGUUAAGAGGAGAGGUUAGCGCAAGCGAAGCUUUGAAUUUAAGCCCCAGUAAACGGCGGCCGUAACUAUAACGGUCCUAAGGUAGCGAAAUUCCUUGUCGGGUAAGUUCCGACCCGCACGAAAGGCGUAAUGAUUUGAGCGCUGUCUCAACAAUGCACCCGGUGAAAUUGAAAUACCAGUGAAGAUGCUGGUUACCCGCGCCAGGACGGAAAGACCCCAUGGAGCUUUACUCCAGCUUGAUACUGGGAUUCGGUACUGCAUGUACAGGAUAGGUGGGAGGCUUUGAAUCAUGGACGCCAGUCUGUGAGGAGCCGCUGUUGGGAUACCACCCUUGCGGUAUUGGAUUUCUAACCUGCAGCCAUGACCUGGCUGGGGGACAAUGUCAGGCGGGGAGUUUGACUGGGGCGGUCGCCUCCGAAAGGGUAUCGGAGGCGCUCAAAGGUUCCCUCAUAAUGGUUGGAAACCAUUAGAAGAGUGCAAAGGCAUAAGGGAGCUUGACUGCGACACCGACGGGUGGAGCAGGUACGAAAGUAGGACUUAGUGAUCCGGUGGUAUGAAAGUGGGAUUGCCAUCGCUCAACGGAUAAAAGCUACCCUGGGGAUAACAGGCUUAUCACUCCCAAGAGUUCACAUCGACGGAGUGGUUUGGCACCUCGAUGUCGGCUCAUCGCAUCCUGGGGCUGUAGCAGGUCCCAAGGGUUGGGCUGUUCGCCCAUUAAAGCGGUACGCGAGCUGGGUUCAGAACGUCGUGAGACAGUUCGGUCCCUAUCCGGCGCGGGCGUAGGAUAUUUGAGAGGAGCUGUCCUUAGUACGAGAGGACCGGGAUGGACAGACCGCUGGUGUACCUGUUGGCCUACCAAGGCCAUGGCAGGGUAGCCAAGUCUGGACGGGAUAAACGCUGAAGGCAUCUAAGCGUGAAGCCCCCCUCAAGAUGAGAUAUCCCAUCGCAAGAGUAAGACCCCUUGAAGACGACGAGGUAGAUAGGUCAGAGGUGGAAGUGCAGCAAUGCAUGGAGCUGACUGAUACUAAUCGGUCGAGGGCUUGACCAG
rnacentral:rRNA from 1 species